GCGAAAGUGGUGGAAUUGGUAGACGCGCUAGGUUCAGGGUCUAGUGGGCGCAAGCCCGUGGGGGUUCGAGUCCCCCCUUUCGCA
rnacentral:tRNA from 1 species